AAUUUAAUAUUUAAAAAUCUUCUAGUAUCACUUUGCAGAUGAUUUAAUGAUUUCUAAACUG
rnacentral:tRNA from 1 species